GAUCGGCCCGCGUCUGAUUAGCCAGUUGGUGGGGUAACGGCCUACCAAGGCGACGAUCAGUAGCUGGUCUGAGAGGAUGAUCAGCCACACUGGGACUGAGACACGGCCCAGACUCCUACGGGAGGCAGCAGUGGGGAAUAUUGGACAAUGGGCGCAAGCCUGAUCCAGCCAUGCCGCGUGAGUGAUGAAGGCCUUAGGGUUGUAAAGCUCUUUUAUCCGGGACGAUAAUGACGGUACCGGAGGAAUAAGCCCCGGCUAACUUCGUGCCAGCAGCCGCGGUAAUACGAAGGGGGCUAGCGUUGCUCGGAAUCACUGGGCGUAAAGGGCGCGUAGGCGGUCUUUUAAGUCGGGGGUGAAAGCCUGUGGCUCAACCACAGAAUUGCCUUCGAUACUGGGAGACUUGAGUUCGGAAGAGGUUGGUGGAACUGCGAGUGUAGAGGUGAAAUUCGUAGAUAUUCGCAAGAACACCGGUGGCGAAGGCGGCCAACUGGUCCGACACUGACGCUGAGGCGCGAAAGCGUGGGGAGCAAAUAGGAUUAGAUACCCUGGUAGUCCACGCC
rnacentral:rRNA from 1 species